rnacentral:tRNA from 1 species
GGGCCCGUUGCCUAGCCAGGAUAGGGCGCCGGCCUUCUAAGUAGGCUCCGGAGAGAGCCGGAGGCCCGGGGUUCGAAUCCCCGCGGGCCCG